rnacentral:rRNA from 1 species
AUUGAACGCUGGCGGCAGGCCUAACACAUGCAAGUCGGACGGUAGCACAGAGAGCUUGCUCUUGGGUGACGAGUGGCGGACGGGUGAGUAAUGUCUGGGGAUCUGCCCGAUAGAGGGGGAUAACCACUGGAAACGGUGGCUAAUACCGCAUAACGUCGCAAGACCAAAGAGGGGGACCUUCGGGCCUCUCACUAUCGGAUGAACCCAGAUGGGAUUAGCUAGUAGGCGGGGUAAUGGCCCACCUAGGCGACGAUCCCUAGCUGGUCUGAGAGGAUGACCAGCCACACUGGAACUGAGACACGGUCCAGACUCCUACGGGAGGCAGCAGUGGGGAAUAUUGCACAAUGGGCGCAAGCCUGAUGCAGCCAUGCCGCGUGUAUGAAGAAGGCCUUCGGGUUGUAAAGUACUUUCAGCGGGGAGGAAGGCGGUGCGGUUAAUAACCGUACCGAUUGACGUUACCCGCAGAAGAAGCACCGGCUAACUCCGUGCCAGCCGCCGCGGUAA